rnacentral:rRNA from 1 species
GACGAACGCUGGCGGCGUGCUUAACACAUGCAAGUCGAACGGAAAGGCCCUGCUUUUGUGGGGUGCUCGAGUGGCGAACGGGUGAGUAACACGUGAGUAACCUGCCCUUGACUUUGGGAUAACUUCAGGAAACUGGGGCUAAUACCGGAUAGGAGCUCCUGCUGCAUGGUGGGGGUUGGAAAGUUUCGGCGGUUGGGGAUGGACUCGCGGCUUAUCAGCUUGUUGGUGGGGUAGUGGCUUACCAAGGCUUUGACGGGUAGCCGGCCUGAGAGGGUGAGCGGCCACACUGGAACGGAGACAGGGGCCAGAGUCCUAAGGGAGGCAGCAGGGGGGAAUAGUGGACAAGGGGCGGAAGCCUGAUGCAGCCAUGCCGCGUGGAUGAAGAAGGCCUUCGGGUGGUAAAGGAGUGUCAGGGGGGAGGAAGGGAGUAAAGUGAAGACCGUGGCGCAGUGACGGGACCAGCAGAAGAAGCACCGGCUAACUCCGUG